rnacentral:rRNA from 1 species
GACGGGGGAUGCAAGCGUUAUCCGGAAUGAUUGGGCGUAAAGGGUCCGCAGGUGGCCCGGUCAGUCCGCUGUCAAAGCCUGGGGCUCAACCCUGGAGAGGCGGCGGAGACCACCGGGCUUGAGUCCGGUAGGGGCAGAGGGAAUUCCCGGUGGAGCGGUGAAAUGCGUAGAGAUCGGGAGGAAGGCCGGUGGCGAAGGCGGCGCUCUGGAACAUUUCUGACGCUGAGGCUCGAAAGCGUGGGGAGCAAACAGG